UACGGGAGGCAGCAGUGGGGAAUAUUGCACAAUGGGCGCAAGCCUGAUGCAGCCAUGCCGCGUGUAUGAAGAAGGCCUUCGGGUUGUAAAGUACUUUCAGUCGUGAGGAAGGUGUUAAGGUUAAUAACGUUAGCAAUUGACGUUAGCGACAGAAGAAGCACCGGCUAACUCCGUGCCAGCAGCCGCGGUAAUACGGAGGGUGCGAGCGUUAAUCGGAAUUACUGGGCGUAAAGGGCACGCAGGCGGUUAAUUAAGUUGGAUGUGAAAUCCCCGGGCUUAACCUGGGAAUGGCAUUCAAGACUGGUUAGCUAGAGUCUUGUAGAGGGGGUAGAAUUCCAUGUGUAGCGGUGAAAUGCGUAGAGAUGUGGAGGAAUACCGGUGGCGAAGGCGGCCCCUGGACAAAGACUGACGCUCAUGUGCGAAAGCGUGGGGAGCAAAC
rnacentral:rRNA from 1 species